rnacentral:rRNA from 1 species
UUAGAUGUCCGGGGCCGCACGCGCGCUACACUGAAGGAAUCAGCGUGUGCUCUCCCUGUCCGGUAGGACUGGGUAAUCAGUUGAACCUCUUUCGUGAUAGGGAUAGGGGCUUGUAAUUGUUCCCCUUGAACGAGGAAUUCCCAGUAAGCAUGAGUCAUAAGCUCGUGUUGACUASGUCCCUGCCCUUUGUACUCACCGCCCGUCGCUGCUACCGAUUGAAUGAUUUAGUGAGGUCUUUGGACUGGUGCCCGUGCCCGGUCUUCCGACUGGGUCGUGGUGCUGGAAAGAUGACCGAACUUGAYCAUUUAGAGGAAGUAAAAGUCGUAACAAGGUAUCC